UAGCCCCUGGGGACUUCCGCUUUCGCGUUGGUCAAUUGUCUUCGACCUCAACGUUUAGUUUAACCGUAUUUUACUGGAAUCAUGCGUCUAUUCUUGAUUUUAACAGCACUGGGGACAACACAGAGCUAACAAAACUAAACAGGUUAACCUGUAUAGGCACAAGUCCGAAACUGCCACGUCAUCUCCAGACAGGGUAAUCCCAUUACAGUAGAGACGAAAACCAACAUAUCCUCACAGAAUGAGUGCAGAAAAGGCUGAUGCUGGACUCAUAAACAUCAGUGAGAAAGAAGACGACGCUGACAGCACAUACCAAGAACACAUACAGGAUGGCUGCAGGGCCCUGCAGACAGGGGACCUGGACACUGCAGAAAAGAACUUUGCAGCUGCGCUCAAGUCUGUUCAUG